UAGCCACCCCCCCCCCCCAAAUUUCAGAUUUCCCCCCCUCUCUCUCGGUCUCUGCUUUGCCAUGCAACCUCCUUCACCUCCCUCCCCCAGUUUCCUCUCUCUCUCUCUCUCUCUCUCUCUCUCUCUCUCUCUCUCUCUCUCUCUCUCUCUCUCUCUCUCUCUCUCUCUCUCUCUCUCUCUCUCUCUCUCUCUCUCUCUCUUCAAGCGCUAGCGCUUUUGUCUUGUCUGGAACCCAAAUUUGAUCGCGCAGCUCACCAGUCAUCUCCUUUUGAUCGCGCGGCUUGCCGAACGAUGGAAGUGCUUUCGGAUCCAAGGUUUUCGUUUGGGAUUAGGGUUUCACCAGUCGGCACUUCCUCUCUGCUUUCAGCUCUCGAUCCCUUUGCUAUAGUCGAGGAAACUGCCACUCAGCCACCAUGGGGUGGAUAGCAGAUCAAAAUGAGACUAUUUUCAUGAUGAUAGCAAAUCAAAGUCCCUUAUGCAGUGAUGUAGUAAAUUAGUUCAUGUUUGUUGUUGUGCAUUGGAGUUUAAUUAAAACAAUGUAUGUGUUUUGUAUUGUUCUAAGCAAAUUUGUUCAGACAAUGUAAUAUGUAGUGGGUUUUUUUUUUUUUUACAUGCAUUUGGUUAU